rnacentral:snoRNA from 1 species
UACACAUGAUGAAGAGAUUCUGCCAAAUGAACUCUGAUUAUAUCCAAUACCGUUCCAUAUUUUCUGACCUUGUG